UACAGAGGGUGCAAGCGUUGUCCGGAUUUAUUGGGCGUAAAGAGCUCGUAGGCGGUUCCGUAAGUCGUGAAGUCAAAUCUCUGGGCUCAACCCAGAAUCGCUUCCGAUACUGCGGUGACUGGAGUCCGGUAGGGGAGUGUGGAAUUCCUGGUGUAGCGGUGAAAUGCGCAGAUAUCAGGAAGAACACCAAUGGCGAAGGCAGGUCACUGGGCCGCAACUGACGCUGAGGAGCGAAAGCAUGGGGAGCGAACAGG
rnacentral:rRNA from 1 species